UACGUAGGGUGCGAGCGCUAAUCGGAAUUACUGGGCGUAAAGCGUGCGCAGGCGGCUUUGCAAGACAGAUGUGAAAUCCCCGGGCUCAACCUGGGAACUGCAUUUGUGACUGCAAGGCUAGAGUACGGCAGAGGGGGAUGGAAUUCCGCGUGUAGCAGUGAAAUGCGUAGAUAUGCGGAGGAACACCAAUGGCGAAGGCAAUACCCUGGGCCUGUACUGACGCUCAUGCACGAAAGCGUGGGGAGCAAACAGG
rnacentral:rRNA from 1 species